AACGAACGCUGGCGGCAUGCCUAACACAUGCAAGUCGAACGAGACCUUCGGGUCUAGUGGCGCACGGGUGCGUAACGCGUGGGAACCUGCCCUUAGGUUCGGUAUAACUCCCCGAAAGGGGUCCUAAUACCGGAUAAUGUCUUCGGACCAAAGAUCUAUGGCUGGUGGAUGGGCCCGCGUUGGAUUAGCUUGUUGGUGGGGGAGAAGCCUACCAAGGCGACGAUGGGUAGCUGGUCGGAGAGGAUGACCGGCCACAUUGGGACUGAGAUACGGCCCAGACUCCGACGGGAGGGGGCAGUGGGGGAGAUUGCACAGUAGGAGGAAGCCAGAUUCAGCAACGCCUCGUGCGGGAGGACGGCCUGCGGGUGGGAAACCACUUUCGUCUGGGACGAAGCGUGAGUGACGGUAAUGUGUAAAGAAGCGCCGGCUAACUACGGG
rnacentral:rRNA from 1 species